AGCGGAGGAAAAGAAACCAACAGGGAUUGCCCUAGUAACGGCGAGUGAAGCGGCAACAGCUCAAAUUUGAAAUCUGGCUCUUUCAGAGUCCGAGUUGUAAUUUGCAGAGGGCGCUUUGGCGUUGGCAGCGGUCCAAGUUCUUUGGAACAGGACGUCACAGAGGGUGAGAAUCCCGUACGUGGUCGCUAGCCUUCGCCGUGUAAAGCCCCUUCGACGAGUCGAGUUGUUUGGGAAUGCAGCUCUAAAUGGGAGGUAAAUUUCUUCUAAAGCUAAAUACUGGCCAGAGACCGAUAGCGCACAAGUAGAGUGAUCGAAAGAUGAAAAGCACUUUGGAAAGAGAGUCAAAUAGCACGUGAAAUUGUUGAAAGGGAAGCGCUUGCAGCCAGACUUGCCUGUAGUUGCUUAUCUAGACUUUUGUCUAGUGCACUCUUCUGCGGGCAGGCCAGCAUCAGUCUAGGCGGUUGGAUAAAGGUCUCUGUCAUGUACCUCUCUUCGGGGAGGCCUUAUAGGGGAGACGACAUGCAACCAGCCUGGACUGAGGUCCGCGCAUCUGCUAGGAUGCUGGCGUAAUGGCUGUAAGCGGCCCGUCUUGAAACACGGACCAAGGAGUCUAACAUCUAUGCGAGUGUUUGGGUGUCAAGCCCAGACGCGUAAUGAAAGUGAACGGAGGUGGGAACCCUUUGGGUGCACCAUCGACCGAUCCUGAUGUCUUCGGAUGGAUUUGAGUAAGAGCAUGGCUGUUGGGACCCGAAAGAUGGUGAACUAUGCUUGAAUAGGGUGAAGCCAGAGGAAACUCUGGUGGAGGCUCGCAGCGGUUCUGACGUGCAAAUCGAUCGUCAAAUUUGGGCAUAGGGGCGAAAGACUAA
rnacentral:rRNA from 1 species